rnacentral:tRNA from 2 species
GGCAAGUUACCCAAGUGGCCAAAGGGAUCUGACUGUAAAUCAGCCGUCUUAGACUUCGCAGGUUCGAAUCCUGCACUUGCCA